AUUUCGCUUUGGUAAACAGGCCACCUCCAGGCCAAGGUGACCGUGACCUUCACCACAUGCUGCCAUGGGUGUCUGUGCAGCUCUUUCACGGGCUGAGGCUUCUCAUUUCCCAUUGCCACGACUCUAAUUAGUGCUGACAGUAAGAAACGAGCCAGAACAGACAGCAGACAAACUGGACAGACAAAGGGAAGUGAAGAAGAAAGAAGGAAGGAAGCGGGUAGAGGGUGGACUCACUCAGAAGUGCUCAGAACGGAAUGGCACAGCUGCCCAGGAAGCUAUCAGAGGCAGCCCUGGCUAUUAAUAUUCCUGGGCACCGGAGCCGCCAGCAUAUCUGAGUUGUGUGGGUGUGCUGCCACCAUGUACACGAAGUGCUCGUGGAGGCCAGAAGAGGGCGUCGGAUCCUCUGCAAUUGGAGUCAGAUGGUUGUGAGCACCGUGUGGGUGCUGAAACUGAACCUGAGAGCUCUGGAAAUUCUCUUAACCACAGAGCCAUCUUUGCAGCCCUCUGACAUGCUUUAAAUUCAUCUGUGAUGACAUAUAGACAACCUGGUGCCAGGCCCUUGGCCUGAAGUCCCUGGAACCAGGCAUGGAUGGUAUGCUUGCCGCCUCACUCAACAGCUACACACCACAACCUGUCAUAGACACCCUUGUGCCUUUCACCCCGAAAGUGGCCAUUUCUCUGGGGUUUGCUCUAACUACACACCACGCUCUAUUGUCACUGGCUGUCAUUGCUGAGCUGUUGGUGCUCGAGGAAAGACCUUGACACCUCUGACACACAAAGGGGCGAUUUUCCUGCCUGGCAAACUUUGCUUGGGUGUGCCGUCAGCCCCACACAACUGACUCUGUGUGAAUGGAAUGGGCAAAGUGCCGAGAACACAGAAUAUGCAUGAAUUCCCACACAGGAGCGCGCUUUCCAGGCUGCAACAGAGAACCUCAGGACAGGACAGACACCUCCAUCCCCGUAAGUGGCUGCUCUAGUUGGUCUAGUGUCCCGAGUGCCUCUGGUGUAGCCACAGGGUCUUGGAAAAGGAAAGCCCCAGUUCAUCUCGUGGACCAUGUCUUCCGUAUACAAGGAGGCGGGGCAAUAGCUUUCUGCAAACAACCUCGCCUCCUGCAAUUAUCUCCCUCCCAAGAAACCCGUGUGACCUCCAAACCUGGCUCCAAACGAGCCAGGCCAGCCUCUCUGUCACUUCUAAUGCUACCACAGACUGUUCAGACUUUCUUCACCAGGGCCUGCCCUUCCCCCUUCAUCUCCUCAGUCGCCCGUCGACCACCCUGCACUGCCACACUGACUUUCCUGGCUAACUGUGCCUUCCAGCUUCCAUGUCGUUCCUAAAGAUCUCUGAACUGCAGGCCCCUGGUUUCUCGCCUAAAAGAUCACCUCUUCGGAGAAGCCGUCUAGCCUUUUUCUUUCACCUCAUUCGGUCUUGCUUUUUUUUUAUCAGAGCACCUAUAAGUUCUCAGGACCUUCUUAUCUAGGAAGGAACAUUCCCUCCCCUGUGGGAAGACUCGGGCCACUGGCCUACCUCAUGCACUUACAAGACACCAAGCUCAGAUCCCUCUCCAGCGGCCCCCGUCUAGAAUUACAGCCAGGGCACCAGCCUGCUUCUGGAACAAGUGUCAGCCUUUUGUUCCCAGCAGCUCUAGUAAUUAGAUGCUAGGCCCAAACCCCGUGAUUCAGUCAGCAGUAUGAGAAGCCGGGGUCAGGAACAUAGGGCCCUUCUUUCUUCUGAGAGAUAGCAGCAUUCCAAAGACUGGGGCUACAAAAGAGGGUUGAUCUGCAGGCCUGAGAACUGACCUGCAUGCUGGAAGUCCACCCCCCUCAGCGCCAUGCCAACUGAGGCAUUUAACAAACCAGGCAAUCACCCAGCUUUGGAAAGGAGGUUCCAUCUCGCUCUGGGAUCGUCGUGUAGCUGGUGCUGGGAUGAAACUGGAUUUCCCUCUUCAGAACAAAGACCAGCACGCUCCUUUGGGAAGCCCAUCCUGGGAGAAGCUGCAUCUAUCAGAAGCCCCACUUCCGUGCCAAGCAUUCAAAGCCCGUGACCUGGCCUGCUCGCUUCAGCAGUUCCUGGCAGAGCACAGGGGCAUUCUCCAGCUUUGAAAUCUAAUUGCCUACCAUAGCCAUGAAGCCCAUUUUCGGCAGAAAAAGAAAAUUGAAAGGAGGGGAAAACCACACACACACACACACACACACACACACACACACAAACCACACAUGGACUGGGGGAGCAGUUCUCACGGAAGCUGCUAAGAUGAGCCAGCUGAGCGUUUGAUGGCCGGCCUUUGCGGGGAGGCCAGCUUUCUAAACCAGCUCCAGAAGCUGGCAUUCAGAAAAGGAAGAUCAACAAAGACAGCUCUGUCAGCAACAAGAAAAUGGAAGUCACGGGCAAACCCAGAAAAUGCUCUCCCCUGGAAUCAUCGUGAUUUACGGGAUAAUUGUGCCAAGCUCUCACGUCCAGAAGCAGACAUUGAUGGCCAUGCCAGGGUCAGGUGGACACUCACCCUUUUGUACUGUUCUCAUUUCUAAGCAAUGAGCUCGUCACAGUGCUGUUCUCCACCACCACCCGCCCGGGGAGGGGGGGAGAGAGGAGGGGGGACGCUUCCUCUCUGUCUCCCUCAGACAAAUGCAGCCUCUCCAAUGAGCCACCCUCAUUUUCAGACAGAGCUCUUACCCUAAAACAGUCCACACUGGGAAAAACUUGUGUUUCUCUUGCUUUAAGAGAUCAGUGUCUUAGAGAAAAGGGGAUGAGCAGGCGGAAGCAGCAAAGCUGCCCCCAGUUUUCCACAGUGGUCACUCAACCUCAUGGUAGACUUAUUCCAGAGAACAAGGAUCCCAGGUUUCACAGAGCAGGUGGGUCUUUGGGGGCCCUCAGAGGGACAGAUAAGUUGUCUUGUGUCUGUUUUAUUUGUAGGACCCACGAGGACUACUUAGUCCUCUGACAACCUGAGGAGUUCGCCAGGCAAAAGGUUCGACGGCGAUUAACAAGUUAUGGGACUCAGCCACUGCGGCAGAACAGAAAUCAGCAGGCUUCCUUUGGGGGCUUGAAAUGAAGAAAGAGAUCUUAGAAUCAUAUUAAAUAAAAAUGAGCCUGGGAUUUU